rnacentral:rRNA from 1 species
AGGUUUGAUCAUGGCUCAGAAUGAACGCUGGCGGCGCGCCUAAUACAUGCAAGUCGAGCGAGAAGACGUAGCAAUACGUUUGUAAAGCGGCGAACGGGUGAGGAAUACAUGGGUAACCUACCCUAGAGUGGGGAAUAACUAGCCGAAAGGUUAGCUAAUACCGCGUACGCUUCUUGGACUUCGGUUCAGGGAGGAAAGCGCUACCGAGGGUAGCGCGCUCUUGGAUGGGCUCAUGUCCUAUCAGCUAGUUGGUGAGGUAAUGGCUCACCAAGGCUUCGACGGGUAGCUGGUCUGAGAGGACGAUCAGCCACACUGGCACUGCGACACGGGCCAGACUCCUACGGGAGGCAGCAGUAAGGAAUAUUGCGCAAUGGGCGAAAGCCUGACGCAGCGACGCCGCGUGGGGGAUGAAGGUCUUCGGAUUGUAAACCCCUUUCGGGAGGGAAGAUGGAAUGGGGUAACCCAUUCGGACGGUACCUCCAGAAGCAGCCACGGCUAACUUCGUGCCAGCAGCCGCGGUAAUACGAAGGUGGCAAGCGUUAUUCGGAUUUACUGGGCGUACAGGGAGCGUAGGCGGUUUGGUAAGCCCUCUGUGAAAUCUCCAGGCUUAACCUGGAAAAGUCGGAGGGGACUGCUGGGCUAGAGGACGGGAGAGGAGCGCGGAAUUCCCGGUGUAGCGGUGAAAUGCGUAGAGAUCGGGAGGAAGGCCGGUGGCGAAGGC